rnacentral:lncRNA from 1 species
GUUUUCAUUUCAUUUAUUUUCUUUUUUCUACUUUAUUACUAACACAACUAUCACUCACCUCAUUAGCAGUUUAGUUUAAUAUUUGCUGCGCGUCAACAACUUGCCACAAAUAGAUUGAAACUAUCCAAAUUUACGAUGUUUCGAUUGGUAUCGAUGGCAAAUAUUUAAAAACUGUCCUACGUCAAAAUAUCACAAUUUUAUUCUGACAGUAAUUAAAAUGUGUUUUAAAAACUACCGGUGAGUACAUGCUUUUGUAUUAAAUUAAGAAUAAAAAGAAAAAAAAAAUCGCAUGCAAAUAUGGGUAAGGAAAGCUUUUUGAUUAAAGCUGCAAGCCUACAUACGGAGUGUAUUCUUCACAAAAUCGCGCUUCAGAUCGUCGUGCUCUCUCAAUCAUGGAGUAAAUUUAAAAGCGUUCCAGCUAUCAAAAAUCGGCAAAGUAAUUAUUAAAUCCGAUGGAGCCGUCACAACUGAAAUUUUUUGUUGACAAAAUUUUUCUAGUCCUUCCACAGACAUGGGGUAUUCAAAAUUCCAGUCGCUAUUCUUAGUUUAGAGAAGUGAUGGGCAGAAAGAUUCUUUACUUUGCGCACGUUUAGACAAAAUGCCUUUGUGUUUUGGUCCAUUUUCACAGAAAGCUGUGCGCACGAUUCAGUUAUUAACAAUAUUCAUGGCUAUCAAUGAAUCCAUGGUAGUCCAAAUUUUCGUGAAUCCUACGAAAAUUCUAUCACCGAACUCGAAUAGCUAUGAACGAAAUCGGAUUCAGUGGUAGCUCCGAUUUACAUUUUUAAUAUAAUUUCUGAGCUCUGGAUCCGCGAUCUCCUCAAUCUUGAUUUGUUGUAAUAGAAAAUGUCCUUUAAAUGCAUCAAAAGAUCUUUAAAACAGUUUUCUUAACUAUAAUGCAAAAACAAGGAUGCUACCCUUCUGAGCCUGUUAUAUACAAAGCUGUCAAGGUAGUCUCUUCGCUUGAUCCGAUGGAUUGUAAUAAUAUAAUUACCCUGUACUGACGCUUAAAUGACACAAAAAAAAAAACGACGA